GCCUGGUUAGCAUAAAAGCAAUGCAACCGUUUUGUAAUCGGUAGAAGUAAGUGCGAUACUUGCACUAGGCU
rfam:Rachicladosporium sp. CCFEE 5018 scaffold_2044, whole genome shotgun sequence.